AAAAACGUCUUUCUGGUCCUGAGUAGAAUUGAGCGCUUGGGUUUUAAAAUGCAUGUCCCAGUCCUACCACGGAGUUAAAAUGCUGUGAUGAUGAUUCAUAAGACUAGAGUCUCUGAUAAUAUGAUGAGGCUAUUUCAAAUUACACUGAAUAAGCAUUAUGCUUAUGUUCAUUCUAAUCUGGAUUAGUAAAAGCUUCUCCUAAUUUUCAUUCUUUGUUUUGUUGUAGGCAUCGUUGAGGUGCCCAUAAAUGGACCGGUUCACUGCAGGUAAGCCUGGGAUCUACAUGCUGCUUCUGCAAGCUUUAAGUGGGAUGAUGAUUUUUGGACUAGAGUCUCUGACAAAAACACCAUGAAGUUGUUUUCAAUUCACUGACCACAAAAGCACGGCUUAAAAUGGAUGAUUUAUCCUUGAACUGCUUAUACUGGAAACCAUUCAUCAUGUGGUUUCUAGCGGUUUGCAGUUAAUGAGCUAAAACAUCCAUGUUUUUGCUGUUGCUUUUUUAUCUAAAUAUUUUAACUCAUUGGUUCUCAUCUACAGGUCAUCUGAUGUCUAUUGGGAUGCAUACUUGUGAACUGCUAAUAAAGGCUUUAUAGCCUUUGUCGAUGGAUUCAUUCUGGUUCUUCUGUCAAUUUUUUCCACAUGUGGUUCAUUUGAAUAAAGAUUGUAAAAUGUAAUCCUUUGUAAAGCAUUUUCACUUGACUGUAUGUGGAAUAUUGGUCAAAUAAAAGCUGAACAUGAAGCAGU